rnacentral:pre_miRNA from 1 species
UGAUGAGGUUGAGGAUGAUUAUGGUAGUGCUGCUUGUGAUGAUGAUGAGGAUGAUGAUCAUCAUCAUUAUCAUCAUCACCAUCAUCAUCAUCAUCA